rnacentral:lncRNA from 1 species
AAAUAAGAAAAACAAAAAGAAACGAUAAAUAAUACUAAGAAAAUGACAUAUCUAUACUAUUUAUUAUACAAAAGGGUACUUUUAGUUUGGGACUUCCAAAACUUAACAUAAUUUCUUGAUUUUUUUAAUUUUAAAAUAUUAAAAAUUCAAAUUAUAGGGAUAAGUUUUGUUACCAAACUGUUGCAAUUUAAACUUAAAGU